GGGGAAUCUUGCGCAAUGGGCGAAAGCCUGACGCAGCGACGCCGCGUGAGCGAAGAAGGCCUUCGGGUCGUAAAGCUCAGUCAUUGGGGAUGAGAUGACAGUACCCAAGGAGGAAGCCCCGGCUAACUACGUGCCAGCAGCCGCGGUAAUACGUAGGGGGCGAGCGUUGUCCGGAAUUACUGGGUGUAAAGGGCGUGUAGGCGGGGGUGCAAGUUACCGGUAAAAACCCAGGGCUCAACUCUGGGCUUGCCGGUAAAACUGCAUCUCUUGAGUGUAGGAGAGGGAAGUGGAAUUCCCGGAGUAGCGGUGAAAUGCGUAGAUACCGGGAGGAACACCAGUGGCGAAGGCGGCUUCCUGGCCUACAACUGACGCUGAGGCGCGAAAGCUAGGGUAGCGAACG
rnacentral:rRNA from 1 species